CUCUCCUCUUUUCUGCUUUUCAGGGCUGCACCUGCAGCAUAUGGAAGUUCUCAGGCUAGGGGCUGACUUGGAACAGCAACUGCCAGCCUACACCACAGCCGCAGCAACAUUAGAUCCAAACAGCAUCUGCGACCUACACCACAGCUCACAGCAACACCAGAUCCUUAACCCACUGAGUGAAGCCAUGGAUUGAACCCACAUUCUCAUAGAUACUAGAUGUUUUCUUUUCCAAGAUUUUUAUUUUUUCUAUUAUAGUUGAUUUACAAUGUUCUGUCAAUUUCUGCUGUACUUUUAUUGCUAUGCUCAGUAACAAAGUCAUUUUCUACAGCCCCCUGGUGGUGGGGAAGGGGAAUGGCCUAGAUUUGGUUUAUCUUGUCCUAGGGGAAGCACUUUGGGAACCCAACUUAACUUUGAAAAUCACUUUUAAGUUUCAUCACCUUAUGGAAUUCCCUGGUGUCCUACCGGGUUAAAGACCCAGUGCUGUCACUGCUUUGGCUCAGGUUUCAUCCCUGGCCAGGGAAUUUCCACAUGCUAUGGGCACUGAAAAAAAAAAUUUUUUUUUCAUCACCCUGGGUGGGCCUGGCUCUAUCCUUCAAUCUCUGUAGGUGGCUGGUGAAAUUGUACGUAACUGCAGCAUCAGCAACAGUCUAGGGCAAAUCUGCAGACUCUUCAGCCUCCAUCUCAUUCAAGGAGAGGGCACACCAUUAUUUUAAACACUAUGUUUUUUUCAAUGUUUUUGGUGUGAAACUGACCCAAAAAACCUAGCCUACCUCUACCAGAAACAAAAUAUUGUCUCACCUUUUCAACGUUUUCUUUUCUAGAUUUGAGGUUUCCCAGUCCAGAUUUUUAGAUUCAUAUAUUUUAUUUCUAUCCUUCUAGUGCUUGCCCAUGACACAAUAACCGCAUUUAACUCAAUAAAGGGCAUCUUGACCAUACUCCCAAAUACAGGCACUUUAGCCUGCUUUCACGCAGAUUUUCCAGCUUCUAAUUUACCUAUUGUCCCACAUUUCAAUUCUAUUUAUCUUUUAGCCUUGAGAAUUAGACAAUGUUUAAAAUAAGUGUUUUUGAUUUACCUACAUGUUUGCAAUUCUUUCUUCUUGCAUAACAGACAUUUCCUGGAAGAGGGUGGGGGCUGGUGUUCCCUAAACCAGCUUGAGUCCUGAGAUAAGUCUGAACAGGUGUAGCCACCAGCUUUUUGGAUCUGUACCAAAAAGUCCACUUGGACUGGAUGGAGACCUGAAGACCCUUCCUCAUUUGGGAUUAGUUCAAGCAGCAUGUAUCUGGCACUAGGUAGACUCAAGGCCCAAGCCUUAAGCGGACUAUGGCCCAUUUCCCAUGUGUCCAAGUCAAUGGAGGCUGCAGUAGGAAGAUGUCCUGGUGCUUAGUAGGCUGAGGCACUCAGAAUCCCCAUUCGUGUGGAAGCUCUCUUCUCCCUUUUUCUUUAACCUCUUUCAAAAGUAGGUGAUGCCUUAGGCCCACAUGGAGCUCAUGUAGGUGUGUGCGUGGUGGGGGGGACUUGGGGAUCUAAAGCCAGAGGCACACCAACAGCCUUGGCCACAAGGAAACCUUAAGUAACCUAUCAUCCAAAACAGUUAU
rnacentral:lncRNA from 1 species